rnacentral:rRNA from 1 species
UACGGAGGGUGCAAGCGUUAUCCGGAUUCACUGGGUUUAAAGGGUGCGUAGGUGGUUUGGUAAGUCAGUGGUGAAAUCCCCGAGCUUAACUUGGGAACUGCCAUUGAUACUAUCAGUCUUGAAUACCGUGGAGGUUAGCGGAAUAUGUCAUGUAGCGGUGAAAUGCUUAGAUAUGACAUAGAACACCAAUUGCGAAGGCAGCUGGCUACACGAAUAUUGACACUGAGGCACGAAAGCGUGGGGAGCGAACAGG